GUUCAAGGUUUGCAGAACCUGUUUUGUUGUUCAUACCGACGUUUGCAGAAGCAUUUUAGUUCUUCAUACCAACAUGGCAAGGAAAUUUGAUAUGAUCAAGGAUAUUGAUGGAAAAAGGGAGACUUUGAAACUUGUUGUCCGAAUUGUGGA